rnacentral:rRNA from 1 species
GACGAACGCUGGCGGCAAGCUUAACACAUGCAAGUCGAACGCCGUAGCAAUACGGAGUGGCAGACGGGUGAGUAACGCGUGGGAACGUGCCUUUCGGUUCGGAACAACUGAGGGAAACUUCAGCUAAAACCGGAUACGCCCUUCGGGGGAAAGUUUACGCCGAAAGAUCGGCCUGCGUUAGAUUAGCUAGUUGGUGGGGUAAUGGCCUACCAAGGCGACGAUCUAUAGCUGUUCUGAGAGGAAGAUCAGCCACACUGGGACUGAGACACGGCCCAGACUCCUACGGGAGGCAGCAGUGGGGAAUAUUGGACAAUGGGCGCAAGCCUGAUCCAGCUAUGCCGCGUGGAUGAAGAAGGCCUUAGGGUUGUAAAGUCCUUUCGUCGGUGAAGAUAAUGACGGUAACCAAAGAAGAAGCCCCGGCUAAUUUCGUGCCAGCCGCCGCCGUAA